UACGAAGGGGGCUAGCGUUGCUCGGAAUCACUGGGCGUAAAGCGCACGUAGGCGGCUUUUUAAGUCAGGGGUGAAAUCCUGGAGCUCAACUCCAGAACUGCCUUUGAUACAGCAAGUCUUGAGUUCGAGAGAGGUGGGUGGAAUUCCUAGUGUAGAGGUGAAAUUCGUAGAUAUUAGGAAGAACACCGGUGGCGAAGGCGGCCCACUGGCUCGAUACUGACGCUGAGGUGCGAAAGCGUGGGGAGCAAACAGG
rnacentral:rRNA from 1 species